UUAAGCGACUAAGCGUACACGGUGGAUGCCCUGGCAGUCAGAGGCGAUGAAGGACGUGCUAAUCUGCGAAAAGCGUCGGUAAGGUGAUAUGAACCGUUAUAACCGGCGAUGUCCGAAUGGGGAAACCCAGUGCAAUUCGUUGCACUAUCGUUAACUGAAUACAUAGGUUAACGAGGCGAACCGGGGGAACUGAAACAUCUAAGUACCCCGAGGAAAAGAAAUCAACCGAGAUUCCCCCAGUAGCGGCGAGCGAACGGGGAGCAGCCCAGAGUCUGAAUCAGCUUGUGUGUUAGUGGAACGGUCUGGAAAGUCCGACGGUACAGGGUGAUAGUCCCGUACACCAAAAUGCACAGGCUGUGAACUCGAAGAGUAGGGCGGGACACGUGGUAUCCUGUCUGAAUAUGGGGGGACCAUCCUCCAAGGCUAAAUACUCCUGACUGACCGAUAGUGAACCAGUACCGUGAGGGAAAGGCGAAAAGAACCCCGGCGAGGGGAGUGAAAAAGAACCUGAAACCGUGUACGUACAAGCAGUGGGAGCACCUUCGGGUGUGACUGCGUACCUUUUGUAUAAUGGGUCAGCGACUUAUAUUCUGUAGCAAGGUUAACCGUAUAGGGGAGCCGCAGGGAAACCGAGUCUUAACUGGGCGUUAAGUUGCAGGGUAUAGACCCGAAACCCGGUGAUCUAGCCAUGGGCAGGUUGAAGGUUGGGUAACACUAACUGGAGGACCGAACCGACUAAUGUUGAAAAAUUAGCGGAUGACUUGUGGCUGGGGGUGAAAGGCCAAUCAAACCGGGAGAUAGCUGGUUCUCCCCGAAAGCUAUUUAGGUAGCGCCUCGUGAACUCAUCUUCGGGGGUAGAGCACUGUUUCGGCUAGGGGGUCAUCCCGACUUACCAACCCGAUGCAAACUACGAAUACCGAAGAAUGUUAUCACGGGAGACACACGGCGGGUGCUAACGUCCGUCGUGAAGAGGGAAACAACCCAGACCGCCAGCUAAGGUCCCAAAGUCAUGGUUAAGUGGGAAACGAUGUGGGAAGGCACAGACAGCCAGGAUGUUGGCUUAGAAGCAGCCAUCAUUUAAAGAAAGCGUAAUAGCUCACUGGUCGAGUCGGCCUGCGCGGAAGAUGUAACGGGGCUAAACCAUGCACCGAAGCUGCGGCAGCGACACUAUGUGUUGUUGGGUAGGGGAGCGUUCUGUAAGCCUGCGAAGGUGUGCUGUGAGGCAUGCUGGAGGUAUCAGAAGUGCGAAUGCUGACAUAAGUAACGAUAAAGCGGGUGAAAAGCCCGCUCGCCGGAAGACCAAGGGUUCCUGUCCAACGUUAAUCGGGGCAGGGUGAGUCGACCCCUAAGGCGAGGCCGAAAGGCGUAGUCGAUGGGAAACAGGUUAAUAUUCCUGUACUUGGUGUUACUGCGAAGGGGGGACGGAGAAGGCUAUGUUAGCCGGGCGACGGUUGUCCCGGUUUAAGCAUGUAGGCUGAUUAUCCAGGCAAAUCCGGAUAAUCAAGGCUGAGGUGUGAUGACGAGGCACUACGGUGCUGAAGUAACAAAUGCCCUGCUUCCAGGAAAAGCCUCUAAGCAUCAGGUAACAUCAAAUCGUACCCCAAACCGACACAGGUGGUCAGGUAGAGAAUACCAAGGCGCUUGAGAGAACUCGGGUGAAGGAACUAGGCAAAAUGGUGCCGUAACUUCGGGAGAAGGCACGCUGGUGUGUAGGUGAAGUCCCUGCGGAUGGAGCUGAGACCAGUCGAAGAUACCAGCUGGCUGCAACUGUUUAUUAAAAACACAGCACUGUGCAAACACGAAAGUGGACGUAUACGGUGUGACGCCUGCCCGGUGCCGGAAGGUUAAUUGAUGGGGUUAUCCGUAAGGAGAAGCUCUUGAUCGAAGCCCCGGUAAACGGCGGCCGUAACUAUAACGGUCCUAAGGUAGCGAAAUUCCUUGUCGGGUAAGUUCCGACCUGCACGAAUGGCGUAAUGAUGGCCAGGCUGUCUCCACCCGAGACUCAGUGAAAUUGAACUCGCUGUGAAGAUGCAGUGUACCCGCGGCAAGACGGAAAGACCCCGUGAACCUUUACUAUAGCUUGACACUGAACAUUGAGCCUUGAUGUGUAGGAUAGGUGGGAGGCUUUGAAGCGUGGACGCCAGUCUGCGUGGAGCCAACCUUGAAAUACCACCCUUUAAUGUUUGAUGUUCUAACGUUGGCCCCUGACCGGGGUUGCGGACAGUGUCUGGUGGGUAGUUUGACUGGGGCGGUCUCCUCCCAAAGCGUAACGGAGGAGCACGAAGGUUAGCUAAUCCUGGUCGGACAUCAGGAGGUUAGUGCAAUGGCAUAAGCUAGCUUGACUGCGAGCGUGACGGCGCGAGCAGGUGCGAAAGCAGGUCAUAGUGAUCCGGUGGUUCUGAAUGGAAGGGCCAUCGCUCAACGGAUAAAAGGUACUCCGGGGAUAACAGGCUGAUACCGCCCAAGAGUUCAUAUCGACGGCGGUGUUUGGCACCUCGAUGUCGGCUCAUCACAUCCUGGGGCUGAAGUAGGUCCCAAGGGUAUGGCUGUUCGCCAUUUAAAGUGGUACGCGAGCUGGGUUUAGAACGUCGUGAGACAGUUCGGUCCCUAUCUGCCGUGGGCGCUGGAGAAUUGAGGGGGGCUGCUCCUAGUACGAGAGGACCGGAGUGGACGCAUCACUGGUGUUCGGGUUGUCAUGCCAAUGGCACUGCCCGGUAGCUAAAUGCGGAAGAGAUAAGUGCUGAAAGCAUCUAAGCACGAAACUUGCCCCGAGAUGAGUUCUCCCUGAGACUUUAAGUCUCCUGAAGGAACGUUAAAGACGAUGACGUUGAUAGGCCGGGUGUGUAAGCGCAGCGAUGCGUUGAGCUAACCGGUACUAAUGAACCGUGAGGCUUAACCU
rnacentral:rRNA from 1 species